GCUGGGGCUGGAGAGGUCUAGAGGAGAGAGACAUGCUGGGGUUGGAGAGGUCUAGAGGAGAGAGACAUGCUGGGGUUGGAGAGGUCUAGAGGGAAGAGGAGAGACAUACUGGGGCUGGAGAGGUCUAGAGGGAAGAGGAGAGACAUGCUGGGGCUGGAGAUGUCUAGAGGGAAGAGGAGAGACAUGCUGGGGCUGGAGAGGUCUAGAGGAGAGAGACAUACUGGGGCUGGAGAGGUCUAGAGGAGAGAGACAUACUGGGGCUGGAGAGGUCUAGAGGGAAGAGGAGAGACAUGCUGGGGCUGGAGAGGUCUAGAGGGAAGAGACAUGCUGGGGCUGGAGAGGUCUAGAGGAGAGAGACAUGCUGGGGCUGGAGAGGUCUAGA
ensembl:lncRNA